rnacentral:rRNA from 1 species
AGUGAACGCUGGCAGUAGGCCUAACACAUGCAAGUCGAACGGCAGCACAGUAAGAGCUUGCUAUUACGGGUGGCGGGUGGCGGAAGGGUGCGGAAUACAUCGGACUCUACUUUUUCGUGGGGGAUAACGUAGGGAAACUUACGCUAAUACCGCAUACGAACUACGAGUGAAAUCAGGGGAUCUUCGGAGCUUUCGCGAUUGAAUGAGCCUAUGUCGGAUUAGCUAGUUGGCGGGGUAAAGGCCCACCACGGCGACGAACCGUAGCUGGUCUGAGAGGAUGAUCAGCCACACUGGAACUGAGACACGGUACAGGCUCCUACGGGAGCGAGCAGUGGGGAAUAUUGAGCCAGGGGUGGAAGACAGUUCCAGCCAUACCGCGUGUGUGAAGAAGGCCUUCGGGUUGUAAAGUCAUGUUGUUGGGAAAGAAAAGCAGCUGGUUAAGACAACGCUGUUCUGACGGUACCCAAAGAAUAAGCACCGGCUAACUUCGUG